AGAGAUUAAACUGAAGAGUUUGAUCCUGGCUCAGAUUGAACGCUAGCGGGAUGCCUUACACAUGCAAGUCGAACGGCAGCACGGACUUCGGUCUGGUGGCGAGUGGCGAACGGGUGAGUAAUGUAUCGGAACGUGCCCAGUAGCGGGGGAUAACUACGCGAAAGCGUAGCUAAUACCGCAUACGCCCUACGGGGGAAAGCAGGGGAUCGCAAGACCUUGCACUAUUGGAGCGGCCGAUAUCGGAUUAGCUAGUUGGUGGGGUAACGGCUCACCAAGGCGACGAUCCGUAGCUGGUUUGAGAGGACGACCAGCCACACUGGGACUGAGACACGGCCCAGACUCCUACGGGAGG
rnacentral:rRNA from 1 species